GCCGUAGUCUUGGUAUGCAUUUUUGUUAUAGAUAUUAUGGGUAUAUCGGGGCCAUGUUCCGGCUACUUUGUAGAACUUAUGUUCCUUUAGAAGCUCAUAGACAAGAGUCGACUCAUGUAUUGUUUGGUCUGCCUUGUCGGCUGGUUUUUAUUGUAUAGUCUUUCGUGGGAUCGUGGUAGCUCGUACCUUAUAUAUAGUUUCUUAAAUGUCAGGGCACCCCAUAUUAUCAAUGUUUAUGCCAUCAUCUUUUAUCGUUUGUUCUCCGUGAUCCAUGGAUACCAUUUAUAUUGAUCUCGUUAGCCAAAACAGAUAAUAAAGAAGGUUAGGUAAAAUGUAUAUUCGUGCGCGGCAAGUAUGGCCGGGUGCUAGUCAUGGCCCUCCAGUUUGGGUCCUGACAAAACCCUAGUUCUCUUUUUCCUAAUUUUUCUUCCUCCAAUCUUUCUGUCCGAAAUUUUUCUUCAGAUGUUCGAUUUUUUACCCUCCAUUUUCUAUCUAGAAAACCUCAAAUAUAUAUCCCCUAUCGAAUCUUCUUCUCCUUCUCUCCAAUAAAUCUCGUGUGGGGGCCUUCACAAAUUUGAAGAUCCCUUUUUAUAAAUAAAAAUAAGAAAUAUAGAAACUCUGGGCAAAGAAUCUUCAUCCAACGGUCUCCAUUCCUCUAGGAUUUAUUCAAGGUCCCGAAUUUGCCCCAUCCAAAACAAAAGAAAUCAAGAAAACGCGUGAAUCGGUUUGAGAAUCAUGAGAUUCAGUACGGAAGGGAUGAUGUGAAAGGAGGGAAGAGAUGAGGGGAUAAUGGGCUAACACGGGCGAGCAAAAUCACUCGGUAUGGGCGAGUUGGAGGGAUUGGCGCAGCAGUGAAACUUAGAGAUGGGGGACACCGAUUUGGUUAUGGGAAUUA
rnacentral:lncRNA from 1 species